rnacentral:rRNA from 1 species
UUUCGGUUGAUCCUGCCGGACCCCACUGCUAUCGGGAUAGGACUAAGACAUGCUAGUCGAGUGGCUCAGCCAAUACGAGCCACGGCAUACAGCUCAGUAACACGUGGCUAAUCUGCCCUUAGGACGAGAACAACCCCGGGAAACUGGGGCUAACUCUCGAUAGGCGAAGAACUCUGGAAUGAGUCUUCACCCAAAUAGUUCAGCGUUACGCUCGUUGGACCGCCUAAGGAUGAGGCCGCGACCGAUCAGGUUGUUGGUGAGGUAAUGGCUCACCAAGCCUUUUACCGGUGCGGGCCGUGAGAGCGGUAGCCCGGAGAUGGGUACUGAGACAAGGACCCAGGCCCUACGGGGCGCAGCAGUCGCGAAAACUCCGCAAUGCACGAAAGUGUGACGGGGCUACCCCGAGUGCCGUCCGCUGAGGAUGGCUUUUCCUUGGUGUAACUAGCCGGGGGAAUAAGGAGAGGGCAAGACUGGUGUCAGCCGCCGCGGUAAUACCAGCUCUCCGAGUGGUAGGGAUGAUUAUUGGGCUUAAAGCGUCCGUAGCCGGCUUAGCAAGUUUCCUGUUAAAUUCAGCGACCUAAUCGUUGAGCCGCGGGAAAUACUACUAGGCUAGGAGGCGGGAGAGGUCGACGGUACUUCUGGGGUAGGGGUGAAAUCCUAUAAUCCCGGGAGGACCACCAGUGGCGAAGGCUGUCGACUAGAACGCGCUCGACGGUGAGGGACGAAAGCUGGGGGAGCGAACCGGAUUAGAUACCCGGGUAGUCCCAGCUGUAAACGAUGCGGGCUAGGUGUUGGGGUGGCUACGUGCCACUUCAGUGCCGCAGGGAAGCCAUUAAGCCCGCCGC